UCUGAUGUGCUUCCUGAAGUAUUUCAUGCUUGAGUACUGAAUCAUUGGGUAUGCAAAUUCUAUUUUCGAACCUCAACGAACCAUCAUCAUGUAUCUUGAAUUCAGAUUGAACACCAGCUUCCACUGAAUCCCUUAUUUUCAUUAGUUGUGGAUCAUCAUUCUGGGCAACUAUAAUUCUUUCAAUGAGUAUUGGUUAAACCCUCAU
rnacentral:lncRNA from 1 species